GGUAAUGAUGGCAGAGAGGUCACACCCGUUCCCAUACCGAACACGGAAGUUAAGCUCUCUAGCGCCGAUGGUAGUUGGGACCUUGUCCCUG
rnacentral:rRNA from 1 species